UAAGACGAACCGUGCGAACGUUGUUCGGAAUCACUGGGCUUAAAGGGCGCGUAGGCGGACCUGCAAGUCAGGGGUGAAAGCCCCCGGCCCAACCGGGGAAGUGCCUCUGAUACUGUGGGUCUCGAGCGGGAUAGGGGCAGCUGGAACUUCCGGUGGAGCGGUGAAAUGCGUAGAUAUCGGAAGGAACGCCGGUGGCGAAAGCGAGCUGCUGGAUCCCUCCUGACGCUGAGGCGCGAAAGCCAGGGGAGCGAACGGGAUUAGAUACCCCGGUAGUCCUGGCCCUAAACGAUGGGCACCAGGCCGUGGGCUGACAUGGGCUCACAGCCGAGGCAAAAGUGUUAAGUGCCCCGCCUGGGGAGUAUGGUCGCAAGGCUG
rnacentral:rRNA from 1 species